UAGAUUAACAAAGGCCGUUGGGGCUCACUAGUAUGACUAUUACUGAGAUAUCGGGGCUGUUUGGUAGAACUUAAAAGCUGCUUAUUUCAGUUUUUAGAUUAUUUUAAAUUGUUUUGGUGUGUUUGGUAGAGCUUAAAAUCACUUUUUGUAGCUUAAAUUAAGCUAAAAAAGCGAUUUUUGGCUGAGUGGGCUUGGGGGUGUUUCUGGAUUGAGCUUAAGCGGGAAGCUGAAAAAUUGAGAGAUAAAAUUACUUAAAUGCCCCUAGUCAAUCUCAACUAUUACCAAAAAUCUAACUAUAUAAACCCCAUAUUCAAACACUGUUCACUUGAGAGAGAGAGGAGAGGUGAUUUUCGGUGGGAGAUUUCCGGCGAGGAGGCGAUUUCCAGAGCUCUCUCUCUCUCUCACUCAUGAACGAGAACAAGAACAUAACCGGUGGAUUUCUGAUUCGAGGAUUGUAUGCGUAUCUAUAUCUCCGAAGAAAAUUUCUUUAGAGGAUGCCAUUUAAUGGAGUUCGCACUUUCCUUUACCUCCAAUCAUGUGUAUCUAUAUCUAUAUAAUUGUAUUUCCAGAUUAUUGUUUUUCUGGGUGUGAUUUCAAAGUGUAAAUUUUUGUGGGUUUUAAUGAAAGAUUAUUGCUUCAGAAGAACAAGUUACUUCAGAGGAUGCUUCAAAGGAUGCCAUUUUUGUGGGUAUUUCCAGAUUAUUGCUUCAGACGAACAAGUUACCAUUAUUGUUUUUCUAGACCACCGGCGGCGGCUCCGGCUCCGGCUCCGGUUCUGGCUCCGGCAAAUAGGGUUCCAUUUAAUUUUUUUU